UAAAGCAUCAGUGCACUGAGAUGAAUGGGGGGCUUGUUUGUGGUCAGGACUUUAGCUGGGAGCAAUAUUCAUGUUAUAACUGGAGUUAACUCUGAAGUGAAGGCAAGACCUGAGAGAACCAGAGUGCAAAGAAGUAUGGAGAGUGGUCACAACAAGCUGCUGCUGCAGGAAAGCCAUAGACAUGAAGCGGGCAGGGAGAUCAGAUCCUAGCAAUGGGAGCAGGUUGUUGUAACUCAGUACACGUGUCCUCUAUAACCUCUGUCAGCUGCAAGCAGGAGAGGCAGAAUGGAGGUAACUGAAAGGGAAAAGGAUUGUUUAGCCCAGAGCUGAAGACAUGGCACAACAGGGGGUGAAUUGGGCAGAGCUAGCCAUGAACAGAUCUGGCCAGGGUUAACACUGAUUCUAGGGCAGAGGGUGCAAGACUCCCUAACUGUCUUGGGGGAGCCCCUGUCCCCUUAACCCCUUGCUCACACAUGUGAUGAAGCACCUUAGUUUUUCUGUCAUUAGACAACACAGAUUUUAGAUACCAUAUUUUUCACACACAUAACAUGCACCCUUUUUCCCAAAACUCAGCUGCUGAAAAUAGUGAUAAGUGCUUUAAGUGAGGGAUGAAAUACAGUAAUAGCAGCUUCUGCAGCUUGAGCCUCUGCUGGGAGAAAGAGAAAAAGACACUUCACAUGAUGCACAGGGGACCAGCACAGAUGAACAGACCAUGCCACAAGGAUCAGCAGCUGGAGACUUUUUUUAAAUCCCAGAAGCAGGCCUAAUAAAGAAAAUACUGAUCAAAGAAAAAGGAGUCGUCCAUGCCCAUUGUAAGGAGCAUUUUGAAGACCUUCUCGAUUGAGACUCUGUUGUUGAUGAGAGCAUUCUCAACUCCAUCCCACAAGACCCCAUCAGAGAUGAUCGGACAAUCCUUCCAACCAUUGCUGAGGUAAGGAAAGCCAUCAAGCAGAUGAAGAAUGACAAAGCAUCUGGAGCUAAUGGAAUCCCUGCUGAAAUCUUCAAGCAAGGGGGAGAGGAGCUUACAUCACAACUCCAUGCCCUCAUCAUAAUGAUCUGGAAUGAUGAGGAAAUCCCAGCUGACCUCAGGGAUGCCAUGAUCACAACGAUCUUCAAGACAGGAGACAAGUUGGACUGUGAAAAUUAAAGAGGGAUCGCCUUGCUGUUCACCACAGAAAAGUUAAUUGUGAGAAAUCUCCGGAACCAUCUCCUCCCACUUGCUGAAGAGCUCCUCCCAGAACCUCAGGGUGGGUUUAGGGCAGAGGUGGGUAAAACACAGUCCAUGGGCCAGAUCCAGCCCACCAACAAAUUUGACCCAGCCUAUGAGUGGGUGGCUGCUCCAGCUCAUUGGAU